CCCAAGCUGAGUCGUCGGGACAGUUGGAGAACUUUUUCAGGCGUGACCAGAGUCAAGUAUUGGCAAUUGAAUCAGAUACUCGCGAUUUUCACUAUGUGGAGACAGCAUGGCGGAGUGGAAGAAGCUGUGAAGGAAAAACCUGGAGACCUCUGUUCUAAUUCCUGCUCUGCCAGACCCCACCAUCAGGGCUUUGGAUAAGUCCUCGACUCCCUCUGUGGAUCUCAGCGGACUCAGUUAUAAAUGCCCUUCAGCCUACUAUGCGAACUGGUGCUGUCCUUUGGCACCCCCUGCUGGUGUCUACGGCUGUUGCACAUGCCUUCACGGGGAGGUCCUUGCAGAUACGAAGGCUGCGAGUGGGAACCCGCCGGGAGAGGCCAGACUGCUGUUCUCCAGGGAAGAAAGCAAACCAAACACUCACUGUUGUUACAUUACAACUUUUAACACACUGCUUUUUAGAGACUUAACUGAGCAUGCUGAUUGUUUUUUUCAAGUUGCAUUAAUCGGACACUUUUUUGGCAUAAACACUAUAAAUGCUUAGCCUGCUUCAAGUUGAAGAUUUACAAAAUAGCAAGGACUGCUACAUUAUUGUGGGGAAAUAAAACAUAAUAUAGGAAGUAUUCAGGUAUUUGUUAGAAGUGUUUCCUUUGCACAUGAUUAAUUCAAAUUACCAGAGAUAUUAGAUAACCUAUCCCCUGAUGGUACCUUCCCUAUA